rnacentral:rRNA from 1 species
GACGUAGGGUCCGAGCGUUGUCCGGAGUUACUGGGCGUAAAGGGCGCGUAGGCGGCUUGUUUAGUCGGGUGUGAAAUCCCGGGGCUCAACCCCGGAACUGCAUUCGAUACUGGCAGGCUAGAGACCGGAAGAGGUGGGUGGAAUACCCAGUGUAGAGGUGAAAUUCGUAGAUAUUGGGUGGAACACCGGUGGCGAAGGCGGCUCACUGGUCCGGUUCUGACGCUGACGGCUGCGGAAAGCG